rnacentral:rRNA from 1 species
AUGGUCUCCAAUCCGGCCACGAAUGAGUACACUGUGCUGCCUGACUCUGGCUCCGCCGGCAACAUCUGCCUUGCUUACCUGGGUUUCGACAGUGAUGUUUCCACUCAAGAGUUUCAUGUGUUCGAGUUUGUACUGGUCCUCCGUGAGCCAUCCCUGGUUGUGAGGGGAGUGAAUAUUUACUCUUCAAAAACUGUUGCAUGGGUAGCAAUGGAACCCAAAUGGGACAUCCAAGUUACGUUGUGCUGGCGUAAACCAGGAGUUUUCCGUAAGGGGUUUCUGCACUUGCUGAUAGGUCAGUUUGGGUUGGCAAUACUUGAUGCAGAAGGGCUAACAUGGAGAAUUAUCCCGCUUCCAGUUGUAGAAAGUGUUAAUCCGUGUUUCUCCGGAUUCAUUGGAAAGUCUGCCGGACAGCUAAUUUAUAUCGACCGCGGUGCUAUUGAAGGACACGGCUCUAAUGCAUUGUUGACUAUAUCAGUUUACGUUCUUGGUGCUGAGAUAUGUCAGUGGGAUGUGACUCACCUGGAUGACAAGUGCAUGCGUUGGAAACUCUUGCACAAGCUUUCAAAUGUACUCCGAAGAAGAUGUUUCGGCUCUGUUUCAACCUCGAAGUCAUUGCAGUACACCCACAUGCCAAUAUAA